rnacentral:rRNA from 1 species
GACAGAGGGUGCAAACGUUGCUCGGAAUCACUGGGCGUAAAGGGCGUGUAGGCGGGAAGGAUAGUCAGAUGUGAAAGCCCUGGGCUCAACCCAGGAACUGCAUUUGAAACUCCCUUUCUUGAGUGUCGGAGAGGAAAGCGGAAUUCCUGGUGUAGAGGUGAAAUUCGUAGAUAUCAGGAGGAACACCGGUGGCGAAGGCGGCUUUCUGGACGACAACUGACGCUGAGACACGAAAGCGUGGGGAGCAAACAGG